rnacentral:rRNA from 1 species
UUAUCUUAGUGGCGGACGGGUGAGUAACACGUGAGCAACCUGCCUUUGAGAGAGGGAUAGCUUCUGGAAACGGAUGGUAAUACCUCAUGACAUAAUUGAAGGGCUUCCUUUGAUUAUCAAAGAUUUAUCACUCAAAGAUGGGCUCGCGUCUGAUUAGAUAGUUGGUGAGGUAACGGCUCACCAAGUCGACGAUCAGUAGCCGGACUGAGAGGUUGAACGGCCACAUUGGGACUGAGACACAGCCCAGACUCCUACGGGAGGCAGCAGUGGGGAAUAUUGCGCAAUGGGGGAAACCCUGACGCAGCAACGCCGCGUGAUUGAAGAAGGUCUUCGGAUUGUAAAAAUCUUUUAUCAAGGACGAAGAAGUGACGGUACUUGAUGAAUAAGCUCCGGCUAACUACGUGCCAGCAGCCGCGGUAAUACGUAGGGAGCAAGCGUUAUCCGGAUUUACUGGGUGUAAAGGGCGAGUAGGCGGAUUGGCAAGUUGGGAGUGAAAUGUCGGGGCUUAACCCCGGAACUGCUUCCAAAACUGUUGAUCUUGAGUGAUGGAGAGGCAGGCGGAAUUCCCAGUGUAGCGGUGAAAUGCGUAGAUAUUGGGAGGAACACCAGUGGCGAAGGCGGCCUGCUGGACAUUAACUGACGCUGAGGAGCGAAAGCGUGGGGAGCAAACAGGAUUAGAUACCCUGGUAGUCCACGCCGUAAACGAUGGAUACUAGGUGUGGGAGGUAUUGACCCCUUCCGUGCCGCAGUUAACACAUUAAGUAUCCCACCUGGGGAGUACGACCGCAAGGUUGAAACUCAAAGGAAUUGACGGGGGCCCGCACAAGCAGUGGAGUAUGUGGUUUAAUUCGACGCAACGCGAAAAACCUUACCAGGUCUUGACAUCCGACUAACGAAGCAGAGAUGCAUUAGGUGCCUUUCGGGGAAAGUUGAGACAGGUGGUGCAUGGUUGUCGUCAGCUCGUGUCGUGAGAUGUUGGGUUAAGUCCCGCAACGAGCGCAACCCUUAUUAUUAGUUGCUACGCAAGAGCACUCUAGUAAGACUGCCGUUGACAAAACGGAGGAAGGUGGGGAUGACGUCAAAUCAUCAUGCCCUUUAUGACCUGGGCUACACACGUACUACAAUGGCGGUAAACAAAAGGGAGCGAAGGGGUGACCCGGAGCAAAUCCCGAAAAGCCGUCUCAGUUCAGACUGCAGGCUGAAACUCGCCUGCACGAAGUCGGAAUUGCUAGUAAUCGAGAAUCAGCAUGUCACGGUGAAUACGUUCCCGGGC